GUGAUACUCCUUCCGUCGCAUAAUUCUCGUUGAAAUAUUACAUGUAUCUAGACGUUUUUUAGAAAUAAAUACAUUCAUUUUUGGACAAAUUUGAGACAAGAAUUAUGGGACGGAGGGAGUACAUG
rfam:Brachypodium distachyon strain Bd21 chromosome 2, whole genome shotgun sequence.